rnacentral:rRNA from 1 species
UGCUGACGACCGGCGCACGGGUGAGUAACGCGUAUGCAACCUGCCCCUGACAGGAGGAUAGCCCUAGGAAACUGGGAUUAAUACUCCAUGUAUUAUCAAAUAGGCAUCUAUUACAUAAUAAAGCUACGGCGGUCAGGGAUGGGCAUGCGUGCCAUUAGUUAGUUGGUGAGGUAACGGCUCACCAAGGCAUCGAUGGCUAGGGGUUCUGAGAGGAUGAUCCCCCACACUGGUACUGAGACACGGACCAGACUCCUACGGGAGGCAGCAGUGAGGAAUAUUGGUCAAUGGGCGCAAGCCUGAACCAGCCAUGCCGCGUGCAGGAUGACUGUUCUAUGAAUUGUAAACUGCUUUUCUGCGGGAAGAAAUGUACCUACGUGUAGGUAUUUGCCGGUACUGCAGGAAUAAGCAUCGGCUAACUCCGUGCCAGCAGCCGCGGUAAUACGGAGGAUGCAAGCGUUAUCCGGAUUCAUUGGGUUUACAGGGUGCGCAGGCGGUGUAUUAAGUCAGUG